ensembl:lncRNA
ACUUGGCCUCACCUGAAACAUUCGUCUUCACUGCUUUAAGGAACUUGCCCUUCCCUCCUAAGAGCGCCAAGUCACAAGACAUUUCUAGACCCUGUUCAAGAAAGAAAGCAAGAACAUUAAACAUAUAGCUUUGAUUUCAGAAAACCUGCAUUUCAACACUGAUUUACCAUCUUUCAUCACUCUAUUAUCAUGGGUUACUCACAUAAUUUUUCUGAGCCUCAAUUUUUUGUUGUUGUUCUUCCAAAGAAAAAUGUAUUGAAGCAAAUUUCCCAUGUUGUUUUGUUUUCCUAGGUGAAUAAUAAUUAAACAAGGUAUUAUGCCUGAAAGUGCUAGGAAAUUGUAAAGAGCUAUGUAAACACUAUUACCAAAGAAGAACAAGAGUGUGACAUUUUAGGUGGGCUGAAGUGGCACAGACAGUUGAAGGCCAGGAGCAGUCUCAGUCCCCAGCUUUUCAAUUAGAGCCUUGAGCUAAGAGGUGGAUUGGGGCUUGCUUUCCUUCCCCUCUCUUAGUUACCCUUAACAGGAGCUGUUAAUAGAGGAGCAGGCCCUGAGGAAGCUCUUAGGAGGCUCACCUUGGACACUCAGUCCCAGCAGCACUCAUACGCAGUCUGGUGGGAGGGCAAUGACUAAUGCAGACAUCAGAGCCAAGAAACUGAAAGAAAUGUGCCUCUUGUCAUCUAGAGAUGUGUUUUCCAAACCACACUUUCCACGGAACAUUGGAGAUUGGCUAAAAUAUCAUUUCUUUUGCUGGUUCAGGCCAGCCCAUUCUAAGAGGGUCAUUUUCCCUCAACGCCCCCCUCCUCAAACUUCCAGUUGUCCUUGCUCCACUUCCUGUGUGUGCCCCUUCGACAGACCCUUCAGGGACUGCCUUUAAGGAGAAUCCCCUUGAGGUUACUCACAGCACUCUGUGCACCAGAGACAUGAGCAAGGAAUGAAGGUCUGUCUAAUCAACAAUGAAACGAAAUCAAGGGAGGGAGAAGAAAGAUUAUGACCAGGGCUCUGAGCCAGUCCAGCCCAGGUGGGGCUGUGGGGUGGAAGAAAAUUUGUUGACUUCAGUCUCAAAAACAGGGAAAAGAGAAAAUGCAACCGUACUUGUGCUAUCAAGACGCUUCUCAUCUUAGCUGAAAUGCAAUUCAAGUCAAUUCAACAGACAUUUAUUAAGCCCCUACUGAGGGCACAGCUAAAGUAAGAUGCAUGGAACCUUAUGGAGCUCCCAUUCUACCCUGGAGAUAAGUGCUUAAGCAAAUGAAAUGUGCUUCGUUGUGCUUGGUGCUAUGAUAAAGGGGGCACAGAGGACAGGAUAUCCACUCCCUCAUGAAAUCAGCCCAUUCCCUUUUGAAUACGUCUUAUAAUUAGGAAGUGUCUUUUCUCUGUUCCUUCUCCCUCUACCCUCCUAGCCCUUCCUUCCUCUCCUCCUCCUUCUGUUUUUCUAUUUCCCUUUUCUCUUCUUCUUUCUGCCCUGUCCCUGUUUUCCUCUUCCCUCCCAGGUCCCACCAGCUCUGAGAACCUGAGGUCCUGCUCCCUACCCUCUCUGCCCCAUCUAUGCGAUGUGGGCAAAGAAGGGAAGUGAGGCCAGACAAGCCCUCUUAAAGGAGGCCAGAAGAAGGAAGAAUUCCAGGCAGAGGGAAAAGCAUAAAUUGAGAAGUGUGGCCUUUCCCAAAAGGCUUGGGGAAGUAUGAUUUACUUACUCAUUUCUUGUCCCUCCCAUAAUCUCUCUCUUCCCCUUAACCUAAGUCAUGAGGCUGAAAAAUCUUCUCCUGAAUCUUGAAGCCCAUUCAGCCUCAAAAAAUUAGCUGCUCUAAGGAAUGGUAGUGUGGUAGGUAAAAUAAUGGCCACCCAGAGAUAGCAAGUCCUAACCAGGGUGUUUGGAGAUGUAAUGAAAUUAAGGAUCUUAGGCCAGGUGUGGUGGCUCACACUUGUAAUCCCAGAACUUUGGGAGGCUGAGGCGGGUGGAUCACCUGAGGCCAGAAGUUCGAGACCUGCCUAGUCAACAUGACAAAACCCGGUCUCUGCUAAAAUAAAAAAAAA